UUGUGUAGUGAAAAGUGCUGAGCUAUGGAUUCACUUCACCUCGCCGCCAUCCCCAAGUUCUUGGAGGGUCAAUUCAUACUGUGAACUUAUUGAGGAUCAACAUUGAAGACGAACACACAAAAACAGGGCUGAAAAGAAUGACUGGCCAGGAUGGUUGUGCCGAGCUGCACCGUGGAUAACUGUUAGGGGAGAAAAGGGAGCCAAGCAUCUCUGCCCCUCCAUCUGAUGGCACAGUCUGGAAAAGAGAACAGCUAACACACCAUCCUCCUCCUGGUAAUGAAGCCAAGAUCAGUCCACAUGCUGAGGGUUGCAACUCCAACACCACUAACAAGAUUUCACUGUGAUCAGCUGACUGCAGCAAAAUCUGACUGGAGAAAAUGAUGAAGGAAUCUACAAUGUCGUUGCAAGGACAAGCACUCUUUGAAUACAAGCACCUCAAUGUAAAAACCACUGGUAAUUGAAGCUGGUAGAGCGCCGUGACAUCUCUUGGAAACAAGCUGGGUUAUGGACAAGGAUCACGUCAACCAAGAGUUGCAAGUUCAAAUGUCUUUGUCUUCGAAGAACUAUGCAUUUCAGUUGGAUCAGCUGAACACGAUAGGGCCCCUUCCAUUCUGACUGGAAAAGACGUCUAUCAUCUAUGGUCUGUACAUGAUCAAGGGUAUCCACAGUUUCCUUGCUGGGAUAAAUGGAAAGCAGUAGAAUUCAAGGACGGUGUGACAGCUUUUCCUGUCCUUGCCAGGGAUCUAAAUAUUUUAUGGCAUCAUUCCGUCAUAUAUUGCAAUGUCCACAAUCAUUUUAUUGUCAUCUUUUAGUGGCUCUCCUUAAUUAAAAGUUUAAGAAUGAAUAGUAGAGCGUAUUUGACAAGACCGGCCAUUUGGGAUCAAAGUCACUGUCCAGUUAAGUGAGUGCAAGAGGAGAUCAUUGAAAAGUUGUAAAUCUGGUUAUUGGAGUAAAGAUUGUACAAUGGAAUAUCCACAGGUUAAAGAGCCAAUUAAGUGCCGCCAGGAGAGCCACGAGCCAAAGAAAAAGUAUAGGCUUGAAUGAAUAUAAUUCAUUAUCUUUGGGAAUCCUAAGCCUACAGGUACCCUACUUGAUAAAAAUAAAUUUAUUUUGUAACCGUUUAUGACGUCGUAAGACAUCGCCGGCUGGAUAGUGGUAUUGUUAACAGUCUACCAUGCCAAGAUUUUUUAUCAUACUGUUGUUACGCCGUCUAUACAAUAUGCCGGGUACAGUGUACAUUGAGUCUGCACUUCACACACUGCGUACUCACACAUGUUUGUCAUUCCUGCCGUAUCAUGUAGCCUUGCAGAAAUAGUGCAAUCAAAAUUGUUUUAAAAAGGCAUACAUGUAUUUCUGAAAUUUGUAAAUUCUUAAUUGAAUUCUACCAAUUCAAGCAAUUUGAUAGCGUAGUGAUACACUAUCACUAGGGCCUACCGGUACUCUGCAUAUCUGUACUGUAAAAAAACGGUGCUCGCGGCUCUUGGCUCUCAGAUUGGGGUGUCCCAAUGACCAC